rnacentral:snoRNA from 7 species
ACCUGCAUUCGAAAGUGAUCGUGGUCUGCUGCGUGGCCCGGUCAUUGAUAGUGCAGGGAGAGGAACACGAAGGCGUUUCCCGUGUUUGGUUGGGUCUGUGCUAUCCCUCCCAAACCCUGUAGCGUUCGGACA